AGAUUUAAUAAUUUUGAUAUAUAUAUAUAUACAAAAAAAAUUAUUAUAAAAAACAGUCUGUAAAAAAUUUGUUUUAUUUAUUUACUAAAUAAAAGCUAUGCAAAAUGAAAGUUUAUUUAAUUGCUUUAAUUUAUCUAAUAAAAACGUCCCAGGUUUCUGCUUGUCUCAGUAAGAUUUUUAAAAAUAUGUCUAAGGGAGAUAACUGGCAGGUUUUAAAAAACGAAUUUUCGAAAAAAGCAUCAAAUUUUUAAGAUUUAUGCAAUUUUAAUUAUAAUCUACAAAAAUACUAACAAAUAUUUGUUACAAACAAAACAAAGGAAAUACUGGAAAGUUUAUAAGCUUAAAGAAAACAAUUUGAUAAAAAGAAUCACUAUUUUUAGGCGGUCCAGGUUGUUCGACAGGAAAUUUAUUUAAUAUAACAUGUCUGCAAUCAGUUUUGUUGCUGAUAGCAAUAGCAGAUGCAGUGGUGACUUGUACUGACAGCAGGUUGGAUAUAGCCCCGAGACCAGCUGAGACUAAGAAAAUUAAAAUCCCUUGCUAAAAGCACAUUGGCCAGUGGACUGGCCUUAUUUGAGAUUUGGUUUAUCCGCAACAAAGUAUGGUUAGCUGUUUCAGGAAGA